rnacentral:rRNA from 1 species
AUUGAACGCUGGCGGCAGGCCUAACACAUGCAAGUCGAGCGAGAGGCGGACGGGUGAGUAAUGUAUGGGGACUGCCCGACAGAGGGGGAUAACUACUGGAAACGGUGGCUAAUACCGCAUACUAUCGGAUAAACCAUAUGGGAGUAGAUCGUAGGUAAGGUAAUGGCCUACCUAGGCGACGCUCCCUAGCUGGUCUGAGCGGAGGUUCAGCCACACUGGGACUGAGACACGGACCAGACGCCUACGGAGGCGGCGGUGGGGAAUAUUGCACAAGGGGCGCAAGCCGGAUGCAGCCAUGCCGCGUGUAUGAAGAAGGCCCUAGGGUUGUAAAGUACUUUCAGUCGGGAGUCAUUACCGACAGAAGAAGCACCGGCUAACUCCGUGCCAGCAGCCGCGGUAAUAC